GCAAGCUUCCACAGCUUUCUUCACCCCUGGUCGACAUGGGUCCUUGAUACCCACAAGUCCUAGUAGCGUCAAGCUGUUUUCUUUGAGUUUUUUCCCUUCCAUCCCUUCUCCAUGCUGUUGUUCUGAUAUUUGUGUAUGAGCAAAAGCGAUGCAGCGAAGGCUAUUAUCUGCCAUGCCUUGAAUAAUUUUCUUGAAUACACUCUUUUGCUGAUCAUCCAAAUCUUUCAUUAUUCCGGAAGCAUCAUAAUAAC
rnacentral:misc_RNA from 1 species